rnacentral:rRNA from 1 species
UUUGAUCCUGGCUCAGGACGAACGCUGGCGGCGUGCCUAAUACAUGCAAGUCGAGCGGACAGAUGGGAGCUUGCUCCCUGAUGUUAGCGGCGGACGGGUGAGUAACACGUGGGUAACCUGCCUGUAAGACUGGGAUAACUCCGGGAAACCGGGGCUAAUACCGGAUGGUUGUUUGAACCGCAUGGUUCAAACAUAAAAGGUGGCUUCGGCUACCACUUACAGAUGGACCCGCGGCGCAUUAGCUAGUUGGUGAGGUAACGGCUCACCAAGGCAACGAUGCGUAGCCGACCUGAGAGGGUGAUCGGCCACACUGGGACUGAGACACGGCCCAGACUCCUACGGGAGGCAGCAGUAGGGAAUCUUCCGCAAUGGACGAAAGUCUGACGGAGCAACGCCGCGUGAGUGAUGAAGGUUUUCGGAUCGUAAAGCUCUGUUGUUAGGGAAGAACAAGUACCGUUCGAAUAGGGCGGUACCUUGACGGUACCUAACCAGAAAGCCACGGCUAACUACGUGCCAGCAGCCGCGGUAAUACGUAGGUGGCAAGCGUUGUCCGGAAUUAUUGGGCGUAAAGGGCUCGCAGGCGGUUUCUUAAGUCUGAUGUGAAAGCCCCCGGCUCAAC